CCUGAACCUAACUAAUAUAUUGUUUGCAGAGAACCCUGGGCACUCAUUCCCAUCUAACAACAUCUGCUUUGGUUUAUUGCUUAAACAAACAAAUCCAAGGAUAAAACCAGAGAAAACUAGAGCAGAACAGCAUCAGGUACAUAAUAAAUAUUUGAAGCCUUUCUUCCAAGUUCUAAAUAAUGUACAGAUAACUCGAAGUAUUUGCAAUAUCUUGCAAUAAAAUACUUAUCUACUUCCGCUACUCCUUGCUGGAGCUGGUGUCAGUUUUCUCUGGGACCGGUUGAAUCCUCACAUAAGGUUUUCUGG
rnacentral:lncRNA from 1 species